GGAACUGUGGACAUCAAGGAAAGGACUCCAAAGACAAAAAACAAGACCCUCAUGGUUGAAUAGGUAAAGCAGGUUAGAGAGAAUCAGUAGUUGAGAUGAAGAGGACUUCUGUGUACAUUCAGUCCUCUGAAGAGGGACAAGAGAACAAAGCCAGGAGCCUGGUACCAGCUUCCCAGGAUUAGGGCACACAGCCCCGGAGUAAUGAGCUGAGCCUUGGCCCCCAGAAGUUUCCCAGAAAUGAAGCCAGUCAACGGAACCCACCUUAUUCCACAAUCAAACCAUCAAAGGUGUCAAAGAAUAUAAGAGCAAAAACCCCAUCCAAAGGACAGUGAUAUGGUUUGGCUCUGUGUCCCCACCCAAAUGUCACCUUGAAUAAAUCCCCAUGUGUCAAGGGCAGGACCAGAAGGAGAUAACUUAAUCAUGGGGUGCUUCCCCAGUGAGUGAGCUCUCAUGAGAUCUGAUGAUUUUAUAAAUGGGAAUUCCCCUGCACAAGCUCUCUUGCUUGACACCACGUAAGACGUAAUUUUGC
rnacentral:lncRNA from 1 species